rnacentral:rRNA from 1 species
CAGUAGCGGCGAGCGAACGGGGAGGAGCCCAGAGCCUGAAUCAGUGUGUGUGUUAGUGGAAGCGUCUGGAAAGGCGUGCGAUACAGGGUGACAGCCCCGUACACAAAAAUGCACAUACUGUGAGCUCGAUGAGUAGGGCGGGACACGUGGUAUCCUGUCUGAAUAUGGGGGGACCAUCCUCCAAGGCUAAAUACUCCUGACUGACCGAUAGUGAACCAGUACCGUGAGGGAAAGGCGAAAAGAACCCCGGCGAGGGGAGUGAAAAAGAACCUGAAACCGUGUACGUACAAGCAGUGGGAGCCUCUUUAUGGGGUGACUGCGUACCUUUUGUAUAAUGGGUCAGCGACUUAUAUUCUGUAGCAAGGUUAACCGAAUAGGGGAGCCGAAGGGAAACCGAGUCUUAACUGGGCGUUAAGUUGCAGGGUAUAGACCCGAAACCCGGUGAUCUAGCCAUGGGCAGGUUGAAGGUUGGGUAACACUAACUGGAGGACCGAACCGACUAAUGUUGAAAAAUUAGCGGAUGACUUGUGGCUGGGGGUGAAAGGCCAAUCAAACCGGGAGAUAGCUGGUUCUCCCCGAAAGCU